rnacentral:misc_RNA from 1 species
GAUGAAGAACGUAGCGAAAUGCGAUAAGUAAUGUGAAUUGCAGAAUUCAGUGAAUCAUCGAAUCUUUGAACGCAUCUUGCACUCCUUGGUAUUCCGAGGAGCAUGCCUGUUUGAGUGUCAUUAAAUUCUCAACUACACUGACUUUGAAUUGGUGUGGCUUGGAUUUGGGGGGAAAAUUGUUGUGGGCUUUUUGUAUAGUCUGCUCCCCUGAAAUUGAUUAGCGGUACCUUUGUGGAACUGUCUACAGGUGUGAUAAUUAUCUACAUCUUAGACAUCUGCUGGAAUGCUGCUUUCUAAACCUUACUUGUAUUGACAAUCUUGACCUCAAAUCAGGUAGGACUACCCGCUGAACUUAAGCAUAUCAAUAAGCGGAGGA